CUUUUAGCGACGUUGACCAUGAUUGACCGGCUUGUCUACCUCGUCUUUAGCCGGAAACUCCAAUUUGCUCUAAUUUCGCACGACUUCUCUUGUUUUCCGUAACUCCCCUUAUUUUCCUACAAAAUAAAUAAAAAGGGAUAAAUUACAUAUUAAUUGCUAUGAGGCACUACCAGGACAAGCACUUUAGCCGACGAAAUUUUUUCGUCGGCCUGUUAGCUUAAUUCGUCGGUUAACAUCUUACCCGACGAGCCUUCGUCGGCUAUAGUUUCGUCGAGAAAGAGGUGUCGGCUAAAGUAUGUAAUAAAAAAUUAAAAAAUAACUAUAGCCGACAAAAUAUAGUCUGUUUCGUCGGUUUUAGAAGUGUUUAGCCGACGAAACAUGUCAUAAUUCGUAAGCUAAACCUUAUAAAAAAAUUAAAAAAUACUAUAGCCGACGAAUAUCUUCGGCUAAAGUAUUUAAAUAUCGUCGGCUAAAGUUGCUAGUUUUUGAAAAAUAAAACUGCAUAAACUUUCGGCCACCUCCAAUCACCACGAAAAUUUGACAGAAUCUUCCUCUCAACAUUUCGAACAACUUUCUAGAAGAAGUCAAAGCCCAAUUCUAAGCCUAAAUAGGUCAAUUGAAUCAAAAUAUAAAAUCCCCAAUUUUAAACCCUAAAAACUUCAAAUCUUCGAUUCUCCUCACACACACCGAAUCGAGCUACCAAAUUCUAGGGGAAUGUAGUACUAAUCAAACUCAACUUAUCCAUAUAUAGAACUCACCAAAUGGUGACCUGAGGAAUGAGAAAUUUGAUCGACACCAAAUCCGAACCGACGGAGUUUUGGAGCUCGAUUUAUCGCUCACGGCGGCGCCACUCGAUACACCACAUGUCCAGCAAUGAAGUAGAGACGACGACAAAGCUUUUGGGACAAGUGUGGCGGUCUCCGGUGGUUUGACGGCGGAGCUAGGCCGAGAAGAAAAUCCGGUAGGCGAAACAAUAACUUUUUCUGAUUUUCUGACUUUUUACCAUCCACCUCCGGUAAAACUCCUAUAUAAAUAACUUUACCCGACAAUAGCCAACGACUUUUCAUAUAUUUUCGUCGGCUAAAGUCCUUUUAAAAUUUUCCUUCAAAUUUGGUUUACCGCCAAAAAAAUUUUGACCUUAGCCGACGACUUUUUUAAUAUCUCGUCGGCUAAAUUCUAUAAAUUCACGAAAACGCUCAUAUCUCCCUCUAUAUUACGUAGUUUGGUCAAACCUUCCAAACGAAAAACUUUCAUGUAGAUGAGACACAACCG
rnacentral:lncRNA from 1 species